UACGGGGGGGGCAAGCGUUGUUCGGAAUCACUGGGCGUAAAGGGAACGUAGGCGGGCUUCUAAGUUAGAUGUUUAAUCCCGGGGCCCAACCCCGGACAGGCACCUAAAACUGGAAGUCUUGAAUAGUGGAGAGGACGGCGGAAUUGGGGGUGUAGCGGUGGAAUGCGUAGAGAUCCCCAAGAACACCAGUUGCGAAGGCGGCCGUCUGGACACAUAUUGACGCUGAGGCUCGAAAGCAUGGGGAGCAAACAGG
rnacentral:rRNA from 1 species